CCUGCAGCGUAGAGUGAAAGUUGGUUGGUGGAAAUCGAUUAAAAAGUAAGAAAGAAGACGGCGACGCUGCAGGUCAGUCCCCGGGGUGGCCGCGCACAUCGGCGAUAGAAAAACCACCCAGAAAGGAUUGGGGAGGUUUAGAAAGGACCGGAGAGACGACUAUGCUUGGUGGAAAGUUAGUAGCCUCCUCGGACUCCCCCCGCCAGAGCGAGGCGGGCAGGGAAGAGGAGAGGUUGUUCCUGUGGCACGUGACGCCCAGGCCGCCUCUGAGGAAAACCGACUCGCAAAAUGGCGGCGGCGGCGGCAGCUUUGGAACGUACUUCUCCAUCUCACAGGGCAGCGGCGGAAGCCAUCGUGGUGGUCGUCGGCGGGAAGUGAGGUUUUCUGAGGAAGUAAUCGAGCACUCGACCCCGAAGACUACGCCGAGCCCGUACGGCUUUUCUAUGUCGGGAAGACGGCUUACCAGAAAGGCUGCGAAAGAUGAAAAAGAGGCGGCGGCGGCGGCUGCAGCAGAAGAAAAGGAAGAAGAACGUAGCAUGGGGUUCCAACCGGAAUUGCUGGCCGAGAAGGAAGCAAGGACCGAGCAGCAGCAGCCCAGAGAGGAGCUACUAGCUGGAUCUUUCAAAGAAGAAUGUUCCUCAAGUGAAGCCAAAAACAGAGUGUCCAACAAAAAAUGUAAUGGCAAAAUGCAAAUACAGACAGAAAAUACUAACAUUGAAAUGUCGGGUGUCAUUCUCACUCGACCGCCUAUUAGGACUUCAAGAGAAGGUAAUCCUCCUUCCCUGCCUGUAACUCCUGAGCUCAAGAGAACUUUGAGAGGUUCUUUUUCAGAUUCAGUGCAGAAUUUGGAAGAAUUAAAGCACAGAAAACAAGCAAAGGCUGACAUAAUAUUAGGGGAUCACAGAAUCCCAAACCGUGAGAAGCUCAGUGCUGUACAGAAGAAGGAUCUACAGGCUGCUUUAAAAAUUUCUAAACCUGAAAGAAGAUACUCACUUACAGCAAUUGUGAUAUUCGUGGCAAUUUGCAUUGUUGCUGGUGGAUGGUAUAUAUUUUGGCAUUCAUCAAUCCAUGCUUCGGAAAUUGAUUAUAAAGUUCUACAAACAUUUAAAAACCAAAUGAAAGAGCUCAGGAACACCUAUCCAAGUCAAGAUGCAAUAGUGUGGAACAGAAUCCAAGAAAGACAAUGGAAGUGUCAAAAUUGCUCACUGAAAGAGGCGCUAGAAUUGCAAAUUCAGGAGCUUACCAAUGCAAAUCUCCAACUGGUGAAACAAAAAGAUAAACUCUGCGAAGAGUAUGAGGAAAAGCUCAGCAGGGAAAAUAGCUCAGAUGAGUCUGGGCAGCUGAACAAACUCAGACGGGAGAAUGAGAAUCUCAGCUGCAACGUUCAAAAAUUCACUGGAGAAAAAGCAGAGCUCCUAUGA
ensembl:lncRNA